rnacentral:rRNA from 1 species
UACCAGCACCCCGAGUGGUCGGGACGAUUAUUGGGCCUAAAGCAUCCGUAGCCGGUUUUACAAGUCCUCCGUUAAAUCCAGCUGCUUAACAGAUGGGCUGCGGAGGAUACUAUAAGACUAGGAGGCAGGAGAGGCAAGCGGUACUCAGUGGGUAGGGGUAAAAAUCCGUUGAUCCAUUGAAGACCACCAGUGGCGAAGGCGGCUUGCCAGAAUGCGCUCGACGGUGAGGGAUGAAAGCUGGGGGAGCAAACCGG